rnacentral:rRNA from 1 species
UACAGAGGUCUCAAGCGUUGUUCGGAUUCAUUGGGCGUAAAGGGUGCGUAGGCGGCGCGGUAAGUCGGGUGUGAAAUCUCGGAGCUUAACUCCGAAACUGCAUUCGAUACUGCCGUGCUUGAGGACUGGAGAGGAGACUGGAAUUUACGGUGUAGAGGUGAAAUUCGUAGAUAUUCGCAAGAACACCAGUGGCGAAGGCGGCUCACUGGCCCGGUACUGACGCUGAGGUGCGAAAGCGUGGGGAGCAAACAGG